rnacentral:rRNA from 1 species
GAUGAACGCUGGCGGCGUGCCUAAUACAUGCAAGUCGAGCGAACGGACGAGAAGCUUGCUUCUCUGAUGUUAGCGGCGGACGGGUGAGUAACACGUGGAUAACCUACCUAUAAGACUGGGAUAACUUCGGGAAACCGUAGCUAAUACCGGAUCAUAUUUUGAACCGCAUGGUUCAAAAGUGAAAGACGGCCUUGCUGUCACUUAUAGAUGGAUCCGCGCUGCAUUAGCUAGUUGGUAAGGUAACGGCUUACCAAGGCAACGAUGCAUAGCCGACCUGAGAGGGUGAUCGGCCACACUGGAACUGAGACACGGUCCAGACUCCUACGGGAGGCAGCAGUAGGGAAUCUUCCGCAAUGGGCGAAAGCCUGACGGAGCAACGCCGCGUGAGUGAUGAAGGUCUUCGGAUCGUAAAACUCUGUUAUUAGGGAAGAACAUAUGUGUAAGUAACUGUGCACAUCUUGACGGUACCUAAUCAGAAAGCAACGGCUAACUACGUG